rnacentral:lncRNA from 1 species
AGCGAGAAAGAUACGUUCUUGUUCAACAAGAUAAUCCACGCAUGAAGAAAAUAAUCUUGGGGUGUGAGGGGAUGAGUAUUCAUUCUUGCCCGAUUCUUGGAGAGAUUACUCUCAAUGUGGCCCGAUUCUUGGAGAGGUUACUCUCAAAAUGGUCCGAUUCUUGGAGAGAUUACUCUUAAUGUGGCCCAAUUCUUGGAGAGAUUACUCUCAAAAUGGCCCGAUUCUUGGAGAGAUUACUCUCAAAAUGGCCCGAUUCUUGGAGAGAUUACUCUCAAUGUGGCCCAAUUCUUGGAGAGAUUACUCUCAAAAUGGCCCGAUUCUUGGAGAGAUUACUCUCAAAAUGGCCUAAUUCUUGGAGAGAUUACUCUCAAUGUGGCCCAAUUCUUGG